rnacentral:lncRNA from 1 species
UAGUAUUCAGCCACUUCAUGUGAGAAUAGCAUACAGGAUUUUUCAAAAUUACUAUUGGGUCUAAUUUUUUCAUUUCUCUUUUUAGGUCCAGUCUAUUCCCUCUUCUCUUAAUUAAAGCGGAGGGGUGUUUCAAACCAUGGCGGUUGGAGAAAGCUUCUCUUAUUAUUUUACUAGACAGUUUCUAGUGCAAUAUAUAGUGGAAUUGGAGGCUCUAACGCAUCAUAUCUGCUUUUUAGAUCCGGAAAAGGGUUUUAGUCCUCAAUGAGAAUAUGAAAUUGUUCAAAACGAUGCCAUUUGAAUGGAGCUGACCGACGUACGUUAUACCUUGGUGUUUGAUACUCAUCACAACUUCUCUGACGAGUAUUAAAGUUGAUGGGCUCAUCGAGCCUCAAAAGUGGCAGCACUUAUUCCAUAAUUGAUAUCCAUGAUGAGCAGAUCUCUCUACAGUUCUGUCUACAUAUAUUCACGACUCUGAAAGCUUCCAGUACACUUGCAAUGAUCAUCUUAUUAGAAUUGUAUUCCGUACUAAGGUGAAAUACAUAUCGAAUUUUCUUAGUCAGAAACUGUCGUAUAUUAGAAAUCUUUUGAGCCAUGAUAGAUUCAGUGUCUUCCACAUGGCUUCUACGUUUGUCGAGCCAAGUCCCCAACUUUUGAAUGCAGAUACUAUAAUUCCAAGAAUUGACGUUUACGGGGUGAAUUCAACAUUUUGUAAGUGUAUCUUCAGGUGGUCCUCACAUUUGGUAAGUAUUUGUGUCUUUUGGAUAUUUAUAAAUAGACUAUAUAUUUUUACGAAUCCAUGUAUUGUUUCAAUAGAAGCAUCAAUUGAUUGUAGCAGUUCCUCUCAAGUUCCUUUACAGAAAAGCGUCAGGACGUCAGCGUAUACAGACAUUUUAUCGACGUGUUACUAAGUUCUAUUCCUUUAAUUCUACGAUAAGAAUGGAUAUUCUCAUAAAUGUCGUUUAUAGCUAUUAUAAAUAGAGUUGGAGAAAUAAGAUCUCCUUUUCGUCCUCCUUCAUAAAAAUAAAACGUUUUAUAGGGAACUGAUAUGUCUGCCAUGAUGAGUUCCUCAGUGUGGAAUAUAUUCUUUUAAUAAAUCCAUCUGGAAAUCCAUAUUUGUUUAGUUGCCCAAUUAUGAGCUUAUGGGAGACAGUAUCAAAUGCUUUCUCAGUCAAACAUAAGUGUAGCAAAGUUUUCAUUAUCCGAACAGUCAAUUGCAUCUUGGAUUGAGGAGGAAUAUUUUCAAGGAGCCUUGAUUUAAUUAAAGUAUUUUGGGCUGGAGAGAUGAAUUGCGGGAGGAAUUUGACUAUUCUAUUAUUUAAAACACAAGCAAGGAUAUGUAAGAGGUAUUUAGAAGAGAUAUUGAAAUUUAAUUUUUUUAUAUCUAUUCCAGAACGAUUUUUCUUCUUUAUCAAUGCCAGAGAUACGGUGCUUAUGAAAUCUGGAAGAAAUCCCCUUUGAAGUAUAUCUUUAUAGACCGCGUGAAGAGUAUUCAAAUAUUUAUCAAAUUCAAGGGGUAGACUUGAGGGCCCUGGAGACUUAAACUUUUUUUUUGUAGUUCCUGAUAAAGUUACUAAUCUUAAUUUGUGUGAUUAAGUCGUCUAUACAAAUAAAUUUAUGACUAAACCGCAUGAUUUUCGCGUGAUAUUUAGGUAUCCAGCAUAGAUGCAUGUUACCUUUUGUAGGGGAAUACUUAUGUACGACUUUAGAAAUCCGACAAGUUUAAUGGAAUCGCCAUAUCUCAUGGACAGCAUGCUCAGGAGUUAUUACCUUGAACUUAAUGCGUGUACGUUUGCGCCCCGGUGAUUCCUAGGGAAAGAAAUAUACUUUGAAUUGCAUCCAAAAUAUUCCUAUGUUAGAUAGAGUAAUUUAUGUUUACUUAUACUUAAUCAGUGAAGUGCCAUCUAUCCAAUUAAAGUUACAUAAAAAAAUUGAAUCGUAAUUUUGGCCAUAUAUUGCAUAGAGUCUCAUGCAAUUAGAGGUUGUUUUUAUCCCAAGAAAGUCCAAGUCAACAAUAACAUAAUUUUCCUUAUGAUCAAAAGCCACAUGCUGAGGAUCUAAUGAAUAUAUUAUUAAUACUACAACCUUCUGGAUGGGUGAGACUGCGUCCUUCAAUCUUUGGAUAGAAGCAUACAUGUGAUAAUGAGCUCUUAAUAUCAUCAAUUAUUGUAUCUGUUAAAACGAUGAUGUCCGAAAGUGAAAUAAUUUUAAAUAAUCAAUUUUUUUUUACUUUUUCAA